GUUUUGACUUUCUCUGCUUGUGAUCUUUUUUCAGGUUUUUUUUAUCUAGAUAAAGCAGUGUGGAUACUGAUGUGUUUAGUGAGUGUGUGGAUGGUUUACUCUUACAUUGAAUUCCUUAGAAAUAAAGCAGGUUAUGUAGGACUGGUUUGUAUUGCUGGAUUUCUUCAAGCGUUGUGGGUGAACAUAUUUUCUGAAGUCCCAGUCAAUUAUCCGAGGUUUUGGAACAAAAACGUUUUGUUCCUGUUUGGAUCAGUCGGUCUUGUUCUCGUGAACUCUGUGGCACUGAUGACAGACUUAAUAUUUAAAGCUGUUAACGGUAAACGUCUUGUUGAAGAUCAGAGAAUUGUUGUCUUCCCCUCCGAAUGCCUCUUUACCGUACCUCUUCUGAUUUUACCCAUUUUUACACCCUGUGAGUAAAAAUCUAAUUUGGUUGUAUUCGUGUAUAAACAAAAUGAUUGCAUUAAAUGUGUUGUUGAUGCUCUAGCAGUGUAUUAUUGUGCUUUACUAUUUAAAUGUGAUAUUAGGGCACACCUUAAUUAGCUGUUGGAGCUAAACUCCAACUUGGUAACCCCUGCAUUAGGAGGUUAUUUAAUAUGAUUAAAGCUACUAUAACAUUCACUCUAAAAAAUGUUGGGUUGUUUUAACCCAUGGUUAGGUCAAAUUUGGACUAAGUUAUUAAUAACCCUGUGCUUGGUUGUUCUUACCCAACUCUGGGUUAAAACAACCCAGCUUUUGGGCUGAAUUUUCCUAGCAUGGCAACAGUUUGUUCGAAGUUAAAUGAACAUUAAACAUUAACAAGUCUUUAUCUUUACAGAAUAAAACUAAAAUAACAGCCUCAUGCAAAGCAUUCUGGGAACCAGAAAUCUAAUGGAUAAAAAAACAGAAAAAGGUUGAUGAGGAUUUCUGGUUCCCAGAAUGCUUUGCAGCUCCAGUGUCUUUGUGAUUUUUUGUAUUUACUAAGACUGAUUAAUACAUUGUCUGCUCUCACACUUCAGGGACAGCUUUCAGAUCAGAAUCUCAAGGGGACUCUCUGAACUUAGAGGAUUUUGAUGGGACUCACACUGAAAAGUGGACCGAUUUUAACCAGAACCAGAGGACAGGAGAAUCUUUUGAAAUGAAAGUUGUAACCUUUGAGCAAUGAGGAGGAAGAGGAGGAUAUCACCUGACCUGACCUGAGGUCUUUCAGCCUGGUCCGUAUUGUGAGAGGUCCUUUAGGCAUAGAUCUUUUUUGUUACUCCCAGAUAACAACCGCAUAUAAUUAAUAACAAGCCUCAUUGGGCAGUUUUAUGCUUAUAAAUAUAUGGCUUAAAGGAAAUGUUGUGAAAUGUUUCAUUUCUUAAAAAUGAGCUGAAAAAAGAUCACGUUAUACUUACUGUGUGGCGAGUAGCUGUGUAAUAAGCAGGACAAUGUACAACCAGCUUGUUGAUAUCCUAAAUAAGUCCAUUCAGGGUUAUACAAGACUCAUCUGCUUAAGUUAAUGUAAACGGGUAGAAAAGAAGCAUUAACUCUUUCACUGGGUGCUUUCACAACUUCAUAUGCAUUUCUAGCUAAUUGUAUAUUGUAGUUUUGAAAUAUUUGAUUAGUUACCACAAAGGCGCUAUUUGUUUAUAAUUCAAAAAGAAUUUUGUUACGCUGCCUAUGAAGGUUGUCCAAAUGUGUUUUCCUGAGCUGCCUUCAUACCGCCAAGGCAAUAAGUCACUGCCUAAACUUUCAGACAUUGUAUCAAUGCAGCCUAUGACCUGCUAAUUUUGUACUUUUAAGUUUUAAUGUAUUAUGUCUUAUUUAUGAUGUGAAAUAAAUAACUUUACAUUUUUAAAAAUAUGGUAAUAAAAAUAUUUGAUUCCUUUAAAAUUCUGUAGAUUUACAGUACAUUCUCCGUAGUCUUUAUGGACACUUCAAUUCGCCUAUGAAAUGCAACAAUGGUGACAAUCAACAACAAAGCUUCAUGCCGCAAUGCAUGCUGGGUACCAGGAUUGUAAAAAACCUAUUCAUAACUCCCAUUCAUCAUACAUUGUGACAUGACAAAAUUGUGCAACUUCCUUACCAUUUACUGUCACCAUUGUUGAGAUUUGUAAACCAAUUGUUGAUGUAUCUCUAAAGCAAAAAACAAAAACUAAAGCAUUACAGCAGUCUUGAUCAAAACAGUGUCAUUUUCGUAGAACAUUUUUUUUUUUUUUGCUUAACUCUUUAUUGUUCUUUUAUCAUUUUACGUUUAAAUGAUAGGCAUGACAUAUAAGCAAUCAAUCUUAGAUCAUGUGAUAGUUUUUUUUUUGCUGUGUUAUAUAAAGUUUAUUGUAAAUCAAAACAUUUCUCAGGUAAUAUUAACUGCUGCACUUUUUGUAUGUUGAACACUUCAUUUUCAGCAAAACGAAACUGUGAUUUAAAGCAUUUUCUGUGAAUUAAGAUGACUUAUUACCAGGAUUUAGGUCAUACCACCCAUUUCAAACCAUCAGGGAAAUAUGUAAAAACAGUGUUUUGUUGUAUUUUCUUGUACUUGCAAAUUCGAUGUGACUUUAUUUCGAUAGUUAAAAGUAUAAAUAUUUGUUUGAAUAUUGUAAUAAAUGUUUUGUCUCAUGUC